rnacentral:lncRNA from 1 species
CACAAGCUUGUGAGGACACAUGUCAUAGGAAACAUACUUUUUUUAAAUCUUGGUAGGAGUUUCACCAAAAACCCUUUUAAUUUCAUCAAAAAAAAAAAAACUUAGUAAGAGUUGCAUACAGUCUAUAGUAUUUACUAGAGAGAUAUAUUGAAGCUAAUAUGAAGAACAGUUCCAAACUUAGUACUGCAAUGAUCUCAAAACUGACCCAUAGGCUGAGUGUAAGUAUGUUCAUGU